GGUUGCAGCUCAGUGGUGGAGAAUCUGCCUUGCAUGUAGAAGUUCCCAGGUUCAAUCCCUGCCUAAAAACCCAAUGCAAGCG